AUACUUACCUGGCAGGGGAGAUACCAUGAUCACGAAGGCGGUUUUCCCAGGGCGAGGUUUAUCCAUUGCACUCCAGAUAUGCUGAUCCCUGCGAUUUCCCCAAAUGUGGGAAACUCGACUGCAGAAUUUGUGGUAGUUGGGGACUGCGUUCGCGCUACCAAAA
ensembl:snRNA U1 U1 spliceosomal RNA